rnacentral:rRNA from 1 species
UUUUGGACAAUGGGCGAAAGCCUGAUCCAGCCAUGCCGCGUGCAGGAUGAAGGCCUUCGGGUUGUAAACUGCUUUUGUACGGAACGAAAAGGUCUUUUCUAAUAAAGAAGGCUCAUGACGGUACCGUAAGAAUAAGCACCGGCUAACUACGUGCCAGCAGCCGCGUUAAUACGUAGGGUGCAAGCGUUAAACGGAAUUACUGGGCGUAAAGCGUGCGCAGGCGGUUAUAUAAGACAGUUGUGAAAUCCCCGGGCUCAACCUGGGAACUGCAUCUGUGACUGUAUAGCUAGAGUACGGUAGAGGGGGAUGGAAUUCCGCGUGUAGCAGUGAAAUGCGUAGAUAUGCGGAGGAACACCGAUGGCGAAGGCAAUCCCCUGGACCUGUACUGACGCUCAUGCACGAAAGCGUGGGGAGCAAACA